GGNANNNNGGGGNGCUGAAAUGCAGUCGAACGGAGAGUGUAGCAAUAUACUUUUAGUGGCGAACGGGUGAGUAACGCGUUGGUGACCUGCCCCGAAGCGAGGGAUAACAGUUCGAAAGAACUGCUAAUACCUCAUGUGAUCACCGGUUUUAGAAUCUGGUGAUUAAAGGUGAAAAUCACUUCGGGAGGGGCCUGCGUCCCAUCAGCUAGUUGGUAAGGUAAUGGCUCACCAAGGCGAUGACGGGUAGGGGACCUGAGAGGGUGGCCCCCCACAAUGGAACUGAAACACGGUCCAUACACCUACGGGUGGCAGCAGUAAGGAAUAUUGCAAAUGGGCGAAAGCCUGAUGUAGCAACGCCGCGUGUGCGAUGAAGGUCUUCGGAUUGUAAAGCACUUUUUGGAGGGAUGAGGAAGGACAGUACCUCCAGAAUAAGCCUCGGCUAACUACGUGCCAGCAGCCGCGGUAACACGUAGGAGGCAAGCGUUAUUCGGAUUUACUGGGCGUAAAGCGCGUGCAGGCGGUUUGGAAAGUUGGAUGUGAAAGCUCCUGGCUCAACUGGGAGAGGUCGUUCAAAACUUUCAGACUUGAGAGUGGUAGAGGGAGGUGGAAUUCCGGGUGUAGUGGUGAAAUGCGUAGAUAUCCGGAGGAACACCAGUGGCGAAAGCGGCCUCCUGGACCACUUCUGACGCUCAGACGCGAAAGCUAGGGUAGCAAACGGGAUUAGAGACCCCGGUAGUCCUAGCUGUAAACGAUGUGAACUUGGCGUUGGUGGGUUUAAAUCCAUCAGUGCCGAAGCUAACGCGAUAAGUUCACCGCCUGGGGACUACGGCCGCAAGGUUAAAACUCAAAGGAAUUGACGGGGCCCCGCACAAGCAGCGGAGCGUGUGGUUUAAUUCGAUGCUACACGAAGAACCUUACCAGGGUUUGACAUGCAAGUGGUAGAGAAGCGAAAGCGGAUCGACCCCUCGGGGAGCUUGCACAGGUGCUGCAUGGCUGUCGUCAGCUCGUGUCGUGAGAUGUUCGGUUAAGUCCGCUAACGAGCGCACCCCUGCCAUAUGUUACAUGUGUCAUAUGGGGACUGCCAGUCUCAANCGGAGNNNNUGGGGAUGACGUCAGUUCAGCAUGNNNUUAUAUCUUGGNUACNNNCNCGCCUACAANGNCGNANNAUAGGUUGCUAAAUC
rnacentral:rRNA from 1 species